UCUUUGCCGCCUUGUCGAUCGGCCCCUGGUGACCUCUAUCACCCGUGGGAACAGCAAGGCUGCAGAAAGCGUCUCAAAGGAUGAAAAGGCGUGGCUUCCGCAGGCUUGGGAGUCCCACGUGCGAUGUUCCUUGGACAGACUUCCUGCUUCCCACGGAGGAGGCGGUCCGGCUCAGUGGCCGCCACCUUUCUUGAGGCAGGUAGAGUAAAAAAAAACAGGCAGCUUGAUAUUGUUUGGGCCAGGAGAAGCUAUUCCUGUCAGACACUGUCUGCUGUCACAGUU
ensembl:scaRNA